ACCACCAAAGCGUUUCGCUUUGUGUGGUGCACAAAGAAGCGUAACGACAGCACUGAAUGACGGUUAACGGAGCGCAAGCGACGUUCAACAUACAAAGUCAAGCAGUGGAGCGCUUUGGGGUGGGGUGACUGCGUACCUUUUGUAUAAUGGGUCAGCGACUUAUAUUCUGUAGCAAGGUUAACCGAAUAGGGGAGCCGGAGGGAAACCGAGUCUUAAUUGGGCGUUAAGUUGCAGGGUAUAGACCCGAAACCCGGUGAUCUAGCCAUGGGCAGGUUGAAGGUUGGGUAACACUAACUGGAGGACCGAACCGACUAAUGUUGAAAAAUUAGCGGAUGACCUGUGGCUGGGGGUGAAAGGCCAAUCAAACCGGGAGAUAGCUGGUUCUCCCCGAAAGCUAUUUAGGUAGCGCCUCGUGAAUUCAUCUCCGGGGGUAGAGCACUGUUUCGGCUAGGGGGCCAUCCCGGCUUACCAACCCGAUGCAAACUGCGAAUACCGGAGAAUGUUAUCACGGGAGACACACGGCGGGUGCUAACGUCCGUCGUGAAGAGGGAAACAACCCAGACCGCCAGCUAAGGUCCCAAAGUCAUGGUUAAGUGGGAAACGAUGUGGGAAGGCCCAGACAGCCAGGAUGUUGGCUUAGAAGCAGCCAUCAUUUAAAGAAAGCGUAAUAGCUCACUGGUCGAGUCGGCCUGCGCGGAAGAUGUAACGGGGCUAAACCAUGCACCGAAGCUGCGGCAGCGACGCUUAUGCGU
rnacentral:rRNA from 1 species